CUCUGGCGCUUUUUCAGAACGGUUAGAGACUUCAACGAGUGAAGCUGUGCUGCUCGCUGGUGCGCUGCGUGGACCAUGAAUCCAAUACAAUUCCGCCGUCCGUCAGUUGGAAGUUCGAUGAAGUAAGCAAAUUGUUGUAGCAGCUGUCGUGUCCUUAUACUCUUCGUAGUGGUCGUUUUCGUACGAUGUCAUAGCAUGAUGGCUCAUCAUCCUGACCGAAAGUCAGCGAUGCGACAAAUGUGCCAUAUGAGCCUGAGGACAACGGUUUUCCAGGCACCCUCGUUCUUUUUGCAGCCAACAGGAUCUACAGGACCUUCACUGCAUCAAGCCAAGCCACACUCGUCGAUGCUGUUCUAAGCAGCGCCUUUUUCGAACACGGGCUCAAAAUAGCAGCGGGACCUUGAACUUUCGAACCAAAGGCUCGGCUGGUGACAGGAGCGGAGAGUCCUGGCGGAGGCAUAUACGAGGCCGAGGAAGAACUCACCCCAUGCAACCGAAAUGUCGCUGAACGCAGCAAACGAACCCCCGACAACGAUCUUUACCGUUUUGUUGGUUGACAAAAGAAAAAGGACCCCGCGUCACAAUCGGACCUCCUGAUGGUGAGAUGGUAUGCGUAGACAGCAGCAGCAGGACCCUUCCAUCGUUCAGCCCUUGGGCGCAUGGAUGAGCGACUGAAGGGGGACGCACACACAUCCCUUGUGUUUAAGUGUGGUUUGCUGCCUUUACUUCGGCCGCAGGAGCAGCAACAGACGCGAUCGAGGUCUGCAGCUGCAUCUAUGACGUAAAGGAGUGCCUUUUCGAGAAGGGGAAGACACAGCUCACCGAUCUCUCGUCCUGUGGGUCUACGAAAUGCGGAGGGUCGCUGGGACGCCAGCAGAAAACCUUCAGCUCACACAACAUCAGUUGCUAUUGUGCGCGUUUGGUUUGGUACGCGUCUCUCUGUGUGCGUAUGUUUUUUUUCUGCUUUCCGUUUUCGUUCGUUCGUUCGUUAGAGCCUCCUGUGGAAAUAUCCCGCGGAAACGCGGCAGGCAGGCGACGAAUGAGCGUGCAAGGGAUAGCGAAGAAUGUUUGUAAAGGUGGUACACACCCCACCGGCUUGAGGUUGAUGUGGAAGGACUCAAUCAAGGUACGGCGCGACCACGACAGGAAUCAGCAUCGUUCGUCGAUAUGCUCGACGAUCCCUUUCCCGGUCGGUGCGAGGAUUUUGUGCAAAUUGGAAGGACUCUCGUGCGUUUGUUUCGCUAUCAUAGGCCGAAGAACACGACAUGCUCUGUAUUUAACAGGGAGAAAAACUGGGAAGUUCACCAGUGGGACAACAAGAAGAAUAAAGGGGUCUGACGCGGUUGUUAGAGCCGGGAAAGCAAGAACGCACAUCUGCCUGCGUCUGUAUAUCGUUCUAGCUGGGCUACAUCGUCUGGAAGGAUUGUAAAGAGGACUUAUCAACUUUACCCAAGAAGGGAUAACGGGGACGUUUAGUGCGUUUGAAUACCUUUCAUUAGACAAUGUGACAAGGCAGGAUUUUGCACACAAAAAAACUACCAAUGCCUUACCGACUAGAAACAACGAGGUCGAGGACUUUACAAAUUUGUUUUUAACCAAAGAAUAUUUUGAUAUAAACAACGAGUUUUGUGCGCCUAAGGUUCAAUAUAUUAAUGUUAACAAAACUUUGAGCAGAUAUUUCUGAAUAACCCGCUCGUGUUGACCGAACUUAUAAAAGCCACAGUGUUGAAGUUGAAUGCCACAUAAUUGAAACCGGAACACGGAAACCAAGACCAAUCGAAUUUUAAAUGAAUCCUUUAGAGAAUUUAAAAACUAUGUUGUCGAUUAAUGAAAAAUUUCAUGGUGUUAAAAACGCUAAUAAUCGGUUAUUAAAUCAACAGGCUGUAGCUAUACCCUAAUGCUAUAAUUUCCGCUUCAAUUACUUUACUAUUGAAAUUCCUUUGCUCUGAUCAUUCGAGGACAAAAUAUUUGUACCUAUUGCUGUUCACAAUAAAUUAAAAGAUUUGAAUUAA